AGUGGCGGACGGGUGAGUAACGCGUGGGUAACCUGCCUCAUACAGGGGGAUAACAGUUAGAAAUGACUGCUAAUACCGCAUAAGACCACGGAGCCGCAUGGCUCAGUGGGAAAAACUCCGGUGGUAUGAGAUGGACCCGCGUCUGAUUAGGUAGUUGGUGGGUAACGGCCUACCAAGCCAACGAUCAGUAGCCGACCUGAGAGGGUGACCGGCCACAUUGGGACUGAGACACGGCCCAA
rnacentral:rRNA from 1 species